UGGGAUAAGAUGGUUGGCUUGGGUUUGAAGCCAAAUAUUGUUACUUUUAAUGCUCUAAUUAAUGGGUUUUGUAAGAAGAAGAUGAUUAAGGAAGCAAGAAAACUCUUCGAUGAUAUAGCUGAACAAGAUUUGGUUCCCAAUGCAAUAACAUUCAAUACAAUGAUUGAUGCAUUCUGCAAAGCCGGGAUGAUGGAAGAAGGAUUUGCACUGUGUAAUUCAAUGCUAGAUGAAGGCAUUUUUCCAAAUGUUUCAACCUAUAAUUGCUUAAUUGCAGGGUUGUGCAGAAACCAGAAUGUAAGAGCUGCAAAGAAGCUUCUUAAUGAAAUGGAGAACUAUGAAUUGAAAUUUUUCCAAAUGUUUCCACCUAUAAUUGCUUAAUUGCAGGGUUGUGCAGAAACCAGAAUGUAAGAGCUGCAA
rnacentral:lncRNA from 1 species